CUCAACCUGGGAACGGCAUCCGGAACUGUCAGGCUAGAGUGCAGGAGAGGAAGGUAGAAUUCCCGGUGUAGCGGUGAAAUGCGUAGAGAUCGGGAGGAAUACCAGUGGCGAAGGCGGCCUUCUGGACUGACACUGACGCUGAGGUGCGAAAGCGUGGGUAGCAAACAGGAUUAGAUACCCUGGUAGUCCACGCCGUAAACGAUGUCGACUAGCCGUUGGGGUCCUUGAGACCUUUGUGGCGCAGUUAACGCGAUAAGUCGACCGCCUGGGGAGUACGGCCGCAAGGUUAAAACUCAAAUGAAUUGACGGGGGCCCGCACAAGCGGUGGAGCAUGUGGUUUAAUUCGAUGCAACGCGAAGAGCCUUACCUACCCUUGACACCGUGCGAACUUUCCAGAGAUGGAUUGGUGCCUUCGGGAACGC
rnacentral:rRNA from 1 species